UAGCCGGCCAAAUGUUCGCCGGAAGACAUUUUCCGGCGACCAAAACAGGGGUAUUUUUGUCCAAAAUUCCGAAUUGUAUUAAGAUCAAAUCUUACAUCAAUUUUUCACGUUUUCUUCUUCCUCAUCCGCUGUUCCUCAAGCAAAUCCUUCUGGCCCGUUCCUCAGUCGCUCUGUGCCCGGUCAUCGCCGCCCAUUGCCCGAUCCUCGUUGCUCCUCGCGACCGUAGUGUGUCUUCCGCGGUCGUCUCUUCUUUCCCAGGUAGGGUGUUCAAACUUGGGUUUGAGUCUGAUUUGUUCGUGACGGACGCCUUGAUCACUUGUAUUCGGCUUUCCAGAAGACCUAGAGUGGCCGCUUGGUGUUUGACGCCGGGUCUGUUCUGGAUUCCAUUCGCUGGAAUGUUACAAUAGAUGGCUAUGUGAUAAAUGCAGAAGUUGGUUCCGGUGCGUUAACUGUUCGAUGAAAUGACUGAGAGGGACGCACUUGGACCUUGAUGAUAAGGGGUUACACUAGGAGAGGCGAGAUGGAAGAGGCGAGACGGUUUUUCGAUAGAAUGCCAUUCAGAGACACCUUUUUGUGGAAUUGUAUCGAUGGAUAUCUUAGCUUUAACAACUUUAAGGGGGAAAUUCCGACGGAGUUUGCAAAUCUUCCUAAACUUUGAUAUCUCUAUCUACAAGAGAAUCAUUUGACAGGAUGAAUUCCACCAGGAUUGUGGCAACUUGCCAUAUCCGCGUCACCCGAUGUUAGCAACAGACAUUUGGUUGGUACUUUGAGGGAACUGACACAAAUGAAGGCUGCUAUCCGCUUUUAGGAACUUGUAAGUAUAAUUGCUGGCAAGUAUGUAGUUAUUAACUCCAGAACCAUCUCGCCUCUUAACCCCCUAUCAUAAAGGUCGAAGUGCAUCUCUCUCAGUCAUUUCAUCGAACAAUUCACGCGCAGAAUCAACUUCUGAAUUCAUCACAUAACAUUUAGCAAUGCAGCAAAAGGAGUCCAGAACAGACACCGCGUCAAACACCAAGCGAGCACUCCGGGGCUUCUUGAAAGCCGAAUACAAGUGAAUCAAGGCAUUGGUCACGAAAAAAUUUGGCUCGCACCCAAGUUUGAACGCCCUAGUU